UACGAAGGGGGCUAGCGUUGCUCGGAAUCACUGGGCGUAAAGCGCACGUAGGCGGAUUGCUAAGUCAGGGGUGAAUCCUGGAGCUCAACUCCAGAACUGCCUUUGAUACUGGCAAUCUCGAGUCCGGGAGAGGUGAGUGGAACUGCGAGUGUAGAGGUGAAAUUCGUAGAUAUUCGCAAGAACACCAGUGGCGAAGGCGGCUCACUGGCCCGGUACUGACGCUGAGGUGGCGAAAGCGUGGGGAGCAAAGCAGG
rnacentral:rRNA from 1 species